rnacentral:lncRNA from 1 species
UUAGCACGCUGGUCUCCACUACUGCUUCUCUCUUUUCAUCUUCAUCAUGAUUAUUCAUGAUUGUAUAAUCAGGGUUUCUUUUUAAAGAAGCUCCCUACUUGAUAUUAGCUGACAGAACAAAAGGUUCUUGCUUAAACGGUGCCUCUUUUCUGCUCACCGAAAGUCAAAAGCUAAUGAAACACUUUGAUUAGCAUUAAUUUUGAUAUCCAUUGCUAUGAAAAUAGCAAAAAACUUCCAGGAGCAAGUGAAUAGUCAUGUGAGCAGAUGCUUUGAGAGGUCAAGAAUCAUUGAUCGGGAGGUCUGUUUGUGAACGAGGACCUGGAGAAGCCAGACUCGGCUUGCACCAGCGCACACAUGUGAUGAAGUAGGUAUCAUUAUUCCCAUUUGACUGAUGAGGAGAAAUUCUCACAAGACAACUAUGUGACAGAGCCUCAAUGUGAGCCCAGGUUUUUUGGUACCAGGGUCCAUCAACAGAGUAGAGAAGUUUGUCAUUCACGGUGGACUCGAGUCAUUGAUGCAUGUCAUGUACUGAAGUCCACACAUGCACACACAGCCAUCUAACUAUGCAGGAAUUGUGCCCACUGCUAUGCGCAUAUGCCCUGGUCCUC